CCUACGGGUGGCAGCAGUGAGGAAUAUUGGUCAAUGGCCGUAAGGCUGAACCAGCCAAGUAGCGUGAGGGAAGCCUGCCCUAUGGGUUGUAAACCUCUUGUGUGCGGGGAUAAAGGUGUCCACGUGUGGAUGUUUGCAGGUACCUCAUGAAUAAGGACCGGCUAAUUCCGUGCCAGCAGCCGCAGUAAUACGGAAGGUCCGAGCGUUAUCCGGAUUUCUUUGGUUUAAAGGGAGCGUAGGCCGGUCUUUAAGCCGGCCGGGAAAUUUUGUGGCUCAACCAUGAGAGUGCGGCGCGAACUGGAGACCUUGAGUGCGCGAAAGGCAGGCGGAAUUCGUGGUGUAGCGGUGAAAUGCUUAGAUAUCACGAAGAACCCCGAGUGCGAAGGCAGCAUGCCGGCGCCUUACUGACGCUGAGGCUCGAAAGCGCGGGUAUCGAACAGGAUUAGAUACCCUUGUAGUC
rnacentral:rRNA from 1 species